GGCGAAGUCUGGGUUAUGUGCAGAAAGAGAAGUGUGGACAUCUGUCCUCAAAUACAAGGUCUCCCUACGUUGUUCAGGCUGGCUUUGAACUCACUGUGUAGUCCAGGCUGGCCUCAAACUCCUGGUGAUCCUCCUGCCUCAGCCUCCCUGGUGCUGGGAUCACAGCAGAAGUGACAAUGCCUGAUUCGUCCCUCCCAGUCCUCUGUGUUCCUGUUUCCUGGCAAGGUCAGCAGACACAAACCAUUUCUCAUGGCCUCCAUGAACACCAGCCCUGAAAGAGGCUGCAAAGAGAGGAUCCUGACCAAGGCUGUAGAAAAAGAAUCUUUCAAGAACGUAUCUAUCUAUCUAUCGAUAUACAUGCAGGCCCUGAC
rnacentral:lncRNA from 1 species